rnacentral:rRNA from 1 species
UACGGGGGGGGCAAGCGUUGUUCGGAAUUACUGGGCGUAAAGGGCUCGUAGGCGGCCAACUAAGUCAGACGUGAAAUCCCUCGGCUUAACCGGGGAACUGCGUCUGAUACUGGAUGGCUUGAGAUUGGGAGAGGGAUGCGGAAUUCCAGGUGUAGCGGUGAAAUGCGUAGAUAUCUGGAGGAACACCGGUGGCGAAGGCGGCAUCCUAGACCAACACUGACGCUGAGUGAGCGAAAGCCAGGGGAGCAAACGGG